rfam:Ciona intestinalis ciona0023, whole genome shotgun sequence.
AAGAUCAUACUUUUAGGGUUCAUUUCUAUAGUGUGUAUCUUGAAAACGUCGUCGUAUUUUGGCGAUACGACAACUGAGAUGAUGAGUCGCAGGAUUCUCCUCUGAGCAUGAAGCUUUACUGUCAUUUACAAACAGUGACUGAGGAUUGUUUUCAAUGCUCUUGUAGUAAUGAAAGGAGGAGAAUUCUUGCUGAGCAGU